rnacentral:rRNA from 1 species
UGGGGAAUCUUGCACAAUGGGGGAAACCCUGAUGCAGCGACGCCGCGUGAGCGAUGAAGCCCUUCGGGGUGUAAAGCUCUUUCGGCAGGGAAGAUGAUGACGGUACCUGCAGAAGCAGCUGCGGCUAACUACGUGCCAGCAGCCGCGGUAAUACGUAGGCAGCAAGCGUUGUUCGGAGUUACUGGGCGUAAAGGGUGUGUAGGCGGUUCUUUAAGUUUGGUGUGAAAUCUCCCGGCUCAACUGGGAGGGUGCGCCGAAUACUGAGGGACUCGAGUGCGGGAGAGGACAGUGGAAUUCCUGGUGUAGCGGUGAAAUGCGUAGAUAUCAGGAGGAACACCGGUGGUGUAAACGGCUUUCUGGACCGUAACUGACGCUGAGACACGAAAGCGUGGGUAGCAAACA